rnacentral:lncRNA from 1 species
AUGGAUUUGGAGGGGACCAGAACCAAGCAGCCUGGUGCCACAUCGUCACAGAACACAGAGACGCAUGGAAGAGGCCCACAUCCUGAGACUGGACCAGAGGACACCAAGGAGUCUAGAUCAGACAUGGAGACGUAUUCCAAUGAACCUGGAGACCCGCGGUCAGAAUUUAAGCCAGACUUGAAGAUUGCAUCUAGUUCAGACCUCCAGUCAGAUUUAGAAGAUACUAGAACCCAGCACUUUGGAUCCAGUUCAACUGACACUGACCUUGAGUCGGAACCGAGAGACCUGUCUCCAGUCUCCAGACUAAAAGACACUGGAAAUGUUUUGACAAAUUCCAGUUCAGGGGAGACCAGAGACCCUGACCUGAAGCAAGGGUCUGAAACCCCAGAAGCCAGGAACGCGACCAGAGUGAUCCAUCCUGGAUCCGGAUUAGAUCAGACAGGAUGUACUUCAGACGAGCUGCAGACAUCCGCUUCUGUGAAGACCACAGACCUGGAAUCAGCACCACCAGGACGGCGUGAGUCCAUGCCCCAACCGAAGCCCGUCUGGAGUUUAGAGCCACCUGCGGAACAUCAUCCCAAACUGGCUCCAGGUGAGACCACAAACCAGCAACCUGGACCCAACACCCUGGAAGCCAGAGACCUUCAGCCUGGAUCCACAUUACAGCAGGACUCAGAAUUAAAACCAGAUUUGUACAAGUCUGCAUCAAAGCCUGAGCCUAGAUCAGUCCGGACUGGGAACAGGGACCCCGGGCUCAGGGUUAGUAGAAUCCCUCUACUGAUCUCUGGAUUGGGCCUCAAAUCAGAGGAGACCCCAGGUCCUCUCCCUGGGCCCAGGGUCGAUCUCACGCCCGGGUCCAAAUCACCAGUGCUGGAAGUGUCUCUGUCUGAAAUAAAGUCCGGAUCAAGAGAAAAAAACAAGUCGGAAUUCAAAUCUGACCAGUCAAGAUCCUCUUUGGAUCCAAAACCAAAGCAACACAGGCUGGAGACCGUCCUGAGACCGUCCUCACCCAGAUCAGAUGUUCAGCCAGCUCAGACCACAAAGGUGCCGUCUGGAUUUGUGAUGGGUGCAGACCUGGACCUGGGACCUGGGUCAGGUGAGGAGCAUCAACCCACAUCAAAGGAAAUCUUGGCCCUACAGUCUGAGUCCAGAUACCAGGCUCCCAUAAACCGGCAGCCAGAGGAGAUCUACAGGACUCAACCUGAAGAAGAGAAUCAGAACAAACAGCUGAUGUCGUCAUGGGAACGUGUGAUGGACCAGGUGACCUUCUGCCUCCUUCCUGUUCUUCCACGAGUUUAUUUAUUCUGA